GGGGGAUAUUGCGCAAUGGGGGCAACCCUGACGCAGCAACGCCGCGUGAAGGAUGAAGGUUUUCGGAUUGUAAACUUCUUUUAUUAAGGACGAAAAAUGACGGUACUUAAUGAAUAAGCUCCGGCUAACUACGUGCCAGCAGCCGCGGUAAUACGUAGGGAGCAAGCGUUGUCCGGAUUUACUGGGUGUAAAGGGUGCGUAGGCGGCUUUGCAAGUCAGAUGUGAAAUCUAUGGGCUCAACCCAUAAACUGCAUUUGAAACUGUAGAGCUUGAGUGAAGUAGAGGCAGGCGGAAUUCCCCGUGUAGCGGUGAAAUGCGUAGAGAUGGGGAGGAACACCAGUGGCGAAGGCGGCCUGCUGGGCUUUAACUGACGCUGAGGCACAAAAGCGUGGGUAGCAAACAGGAUUAGAUACCCUGGUAGUCCACGCUGUAAACGAUGAUUACUAGGUGUGGGGGGUCUGACCCCUUCCGUGCCGGAGUUAACACAAUAAGUAAUCCACCUGGGGAGUACGGCCGCAAGGUUGAAACUCAAAGGAAUUGACGGGGGCCCGCACAAGCAGUGGAGUAUGUGGUUUAAUUCGAAGCAACGCGAAGAACCUUACCAGGUCUUGACAUCCAACUAACGAAGUAGAGAUACAUUAGGUGCCCUUCGGGGAAAGUUGAGACAGGUGGUGCAUGGUUGUCGUCAGCUCGUGUCGUGAGAUGUUGGGUUAAGUCCCGCAACGAGCGCAACCCUUGCUAUUAGUUGCUACGCAAGAGCACUCUAAUAGGACUGCCGUUGACAAAACGGAGGAAGGUGGGGACGACGUCAAAUCAUCAUGCCCCUUAUGACCUGGGCUACACACGUACUACAAUGGAUGUUAACAGAGGGAAGCAAGACAGCGAUGUGGAGCAAACCCCUAAAAACAUUCUCAGUUCAGAUUGCAGGCUGCAACCCGCCUGCAUGAAGAUGGAAUUGCUAGUAAUCGCGGAUCAGCAUGCCGCGGUGAAUACGUUCCCG
rnacentral:rRNA from 1 species